UACGGAGGGAGCUAGCGUUAUUCGGAAUUACUGGGCGUAAAGCGCGCGCAGGCGGCCUUUUAAGUCUGACGGUGAAAUGCCGGGGCUCAACCCCGUGCCCGCCGGAGAUACUGGGAGGCUGGAGACGAGUAGAGGCAAGCGGAAUUCCGGGUGUAGCGGUGGAAUGCGUAGAGAUCCGGAAGAACACCGGAGGCGAAGGCGGCUUGCUGGGCUCGGUCUGACGCUGAGGCGCGAAAGCGUGGGGAGCGAACAGG
rnacentral:rRNA from 1 species